ensembl:lncRNA
CGACAGAGGAACGACAAAGGAAGACUGUACUUUCACUGCCCACCGGUGAAAGUGGAAAUGGGCUUUGUUGCCCCUCAGUCAGGCGGAAAAUUGCAAACCCAUUUGUCAUUGUGUGCCAAGGAUGCAGAGGUCAGUCAAUGGAUUCCUCCAUGACAAGCUUACGGAAUCGAAUGUUUUUCCACGGCCUCACCCUUUCACACCUGCACCUCCAGAUGAAAGGAAAGAGAUGAUUGACUUUUCCGUGAAUGAACCCACUGUCGUGGCUGCUCUCGCUGUGAUCUCUGGGAGUGUUUGCAACGCAAAAUGUUGUUGAAUUUCAAACAGGAGUUGAACUGCAGAGCUCAGAGCCUCCUCCACAAUAAUAACCAUGGGUGCUUCUGGAAGGAGGAAAUCCCCAAGACACAUAACUCGACUCCAGAGGCAACGCACAAACAAAGACUGUAG